AUGUGGUAUCUUCGGAGGGGAGUUGUGCUAACCAAAGAAAACCACAUCCGCCGCAACUGACAAGGAAGUAAGAAGUGUAGUUUUUGUGCUCAUGACGAGACAAUUAGACACCGCUUUUUUCAGUGCAUGGUUGUGCUUUCUACAUGGUCAGUCAUCCAAGUAGCGUCUAAUUUGUAUCCGCUGAUAAGUGUAGGCAAUAUUGUUAGUCAUUGGUUGGUCGGGUAUUCCAAAUAG
rnacentral:rRNA from 1 species